rnacentral:rRNA from 1 species
GACGAACGCUGGCGGCGUGCCUAAUACAUGCAAGUCGAACGCAGUGGGGACGGGUGAGUAACACGUGGGUAACCUCCCAUCAGAGGGGAUAACACUUGGAAACAGGUGCUAAACCGAUACUGAUGGAUGGACCCGCGGUGCAUUAGCUAGUUGGUGAGGUAACGGCUCACCACGGCCACGAUGCAUAGCCGACCGGAGAGGGAGAUAGGCAACACGGGGAAUGAGACACGGCCCAGACGGGAACGGGAGGGAGAAGUAGGGAAGAUUCGGCAAUGGACGAAAGUCUGACAGAGCAACGCCGCGUGAGUGAAGAAGGUUGUAGGAUCGUAAAACUCUGUGGUUAUAGAAGCGGUAUCUAACCAGAAAGCCACGGCUAACUACGUGCCAGCAGCCGCGGUAAUUC